UGGGGAAUAUUGGACAAUGGGCGAAAGCCUGAUCCAGCCAUGCCGCGUGUGUGAAGAAGGUCUUCGGAUUGUAAAGCACUUUAAGUUGGGAGGAAGGGCAUUAACCUAAUACGUUAGUGUUUUGACGUUACCGACAGAAUAAGCACCGGCUAACUCUGUGCCAGCAGCCGCGGUAAUACAGAGGGUCCAAGCGUUAAUCGGAAUUACUGGGCGUAAAGCGCGCGUAGGUGGUUUGUUAAGUUGGAUGUGAAAGCCCCGGGCUCAACCUGGGAACUGCAUCCAAAACUGGCAAGCUAGAGUACGGUAGAGGGUGGUGGAAUUUCCUGUGUAGCGGUGAAAUGCGUAGAUAUAGGAAGGAACACCAGUGGCGAAGGCGACCACCUGGACUGAUACUGACACUGAGGUGCGAAAGCGUGGGGAGCAAACA
rnacentral:rRNA from 1 species